rnacentral:lncRNA from 1 species
CAAAGGAAAUGCAGGAGGAGGCUGCCAGCACACCCACGCCCCUUGCGACGCGUUCUCCAUGGCAGCAGCCAAAGCUGCAGAGAAGUGGGCAUGACCGGAACUAAGUGGGCUUGCAGAAUCACAGGCCCCUCAGAGAUUUGCAGGGCGGACAGCAAAGAAAAGGAGGCCAGAGGCCUGUGGCAGCCUGUCCCCAAGCCACACAGCCAGGAGAUGGCAGGGCUGGGACCAGCGGGACAGCCAAGGAGAUGGAAAGAUCAGAUGACAAUGAAAAUAUUCACAGCCAGCCUGGCUGGGGCCUGGGCAGUCAGAACAAACACCCCUGGAGGCAUUGGGCCCCAGCAGGUGCCCUCGGGCGACAUGUGGAGAGCUCUUUCUGGUGUUGGAAAAACACAGUGGAGCCGUUCAUAAUGCUGGUGUUAAGGGGCAGAAGAAAUGCCCCCUUGGUGACAGACAUCCCCAUGUCCAGGCUCCAGUGCAACCUGGGACUCUGAGCCGGCACAUGACAUCCAUGAGGAUAAGCUCCGUGCAAGCCAGGACUUCCCCCGCACAGGACUCUCCCCUGGAGCAGCCACAGCAAAGCACCUAGAACAUGUGGCUGUAACAGCAAGUGGGUUUCCAGAUCCCGGAUCUCCUCCACCUGCUUCAUCUGAUUUGAAUCACCCAACAGCACUGUACACAGGGGAUUACACGCCAUUCCCAUUUCAGGGAGUGAAACUGAAGCAAUGCUCUUCUGUAGCUCAGAGGCUUUGCAAAUGCUGUUCCUCCUGCUCAGAUUACUUUUCAAUGUGACCAUCAUAAAGUGGGCCAGAGUGAAGCAUGUAAAGCACUUAGAAGCCCUGAGCCACCGUUUAAGAAGCCUGGCUGCCCUGAAGCCACCGCCGGGAGAGAGAAGCCUGAGACGCCCCGGCACCCCGCAGCCCAGCCAUUUGAGACAUUCCAGCCCAGAUGCCCGGAGAAAAAGGCUUUCAGAUGAGCCCAGGCCCAGCCACCAUCUCAUGCAGCUGGUGAGAGAUCCUGAUUGAGACCCACAAUGCUGACCCCAGGCAAGACCUGGAUUGGGGAGCCACUGUUUGGGGGUAUUUUGUUACACAGCAAUAGCUGAGCCCCCCUUGCACUCUAGGGCCCUUGAGGAGAGGGUGACCAAAGCUGACAAAUUGCCGUAAAGAGACCAUGCCCCAGCUGAGCCGCCCUCAGCAAGAGCCUUGUGGGGACUAUGACUUCUGGUUUCAGCAGCAUUUCAGGAAACGCCGGUGACAAGGCUUUGGGAAGGGUGAUGACAGCGAGGGCAGGGAUGCUUGACUCUCCAGACAGUGACGAUUCAGGCGGGAAACAGCAGCUACUUUGCUACAGGGAUCCACGAAAGUGUCCAAGGAGGAGACGAGGCCGUGGCUGAGUGCACAGUGGGCACCCGGUGGAGGGGGGUUCACGUGCAUUGUCACUUCUGCUCUCCCACCGCCCUGGGAGUCAGGCACGAUUAGAACUCCAUCUCUGGAGAGGAGGCUGGGAGAUGUAGAAUAACUCAUCCAGGACACAGCCUGUAACUCCUGGAGCUUGGAUUUGAACAAGGUUGGUCAUUCUGCUUUCCUUAUCGAUAACAAAAUGGAUGGGAAGAAGGUGGGGGGAGGGGCCACACUAUUGGACCUCUGCCCCCAAAGGGUUCAAUAGAGCUGUGCAAAUUUAACAUCCAGACACUCUGUCAAAGAUGCCGGGGAAACUCUCCUAGGGGAGUUAGUGAUGUGAAGUUCAAUGGACGUAAGGGCUCUUACCCUCAGAGGGCAGGUCAGCCAGGCCUGGGUUUGACCCCUGCUCUUCCCUCGCCAACCGUACACCUCAGGCAAGCUAGCUCUUGUAAUAACGUGUCCUCACAUGGAAAACUGGCACAGUCCACAUUCCAGAGGGUGGGGGUCCCAUCGGACAAUAUGGAUCUACCGAAGCCAGCAUGGGAUGGAAACUUCCUGAAUAGCAGCUGCUUGGACCAAUGUGAUCAUGUCAUAUCAUGAUCAUGUCACGUCACCCGAGGACUGCACUCCUGGGCUCCCCUCCAUGGCAGGAUGGGAAGCCAGGUGUGAAAGUGCUACCUAGGAACACUGGGAAGCUCCCUGGGUGACCUGGGCUCCACCUGACCUGGCCGUGGUCCCCUUCCCUCCCCUCCGGAGGGAACGAGGGGCUUCCCUAACCAACAACGUCAGCCCCUUCCUCUUCUUUCUUGGCUUCUCCAUGACCAAGGCCAAUGUCAGAAGAUCUUCCCAGGACCUGUCAGCCACAGAGUGCGAUUGUGAAAAGGGGUCUGUCUAUGCUGGGUGCGGAACCCUGGUCCUGUCUGUCUAUGCUGGGUGCGGAACCCUGGUCCUGUCUGUCUAUGCUGGGUGCGGAACCCUGGUCCUGUCUGUCUAUGCUGGGUGUGGAACCCUGGUCUUGUCUGUCUAUACUGCGUGCGGAACCCUGGUCCGAGGAUGCCCA